CAUGAAGACUGGAUCAUAUGGUAAGAGUAUAUUUAGUUUUGUAAGAAAUUGCAAAACUGUCUUCCAAAAUGGCUAUACCAUUUUGCAUUUCCACAGCAAC
rnacentral:pre_miRNA from 1 species